GUACAAGCAGUGGGAGCACAGGUUUACCUGUGUGACUGCGUACCUUUUGUAUAAUGGGUCAGCGACUUAUAUUCUGUAGCAAGGUUAACCGAAUAGGGGAGCCGGAGGGAAACCGAGUCUUAAUUGGGCGUUAAGUUGCAGGGUAUAGACCCGAAACCCGGUGAUCUAGCCAUGGGCAGGUUGAAGGUUGGGUAACACUAACUGGAGGACCGAACCGACUAAUGUUGAAAAAUUAGCGGAUGACCUGUGGCUGGGGGUGAAAGGCCAAUCAAACCGGGAGAUAGCUGGUUCUCCCCGAAAGCUAUUUAGGUAGCGCCUCGUGAAUUCAUCUCCGGGGGUAGAGCACUGUUUCGGCUAGGGGGCCAUCCCGGCUUACCAACCCGAUGCAAACUGCGAAUACCGGAGAAUGUUAUCACGGGAGACACACGGCGGGUGCUAACGUCCGUCGUGAAGAGGGAAACAACCCAGACCGCCAGCUAAGGUCCCAAAGUCAUGGUUAAGUGGGAAACGAUGUGGGAAGGCCCAGACAGCCAGGAUGUUGGCUUAGAAGCAGCCAUCAUUUAAAGAAAGCGUAAUAGCUCACUGGUCGAGUCGGCCUGCGCGGAAGAUGUAACGGGGCUAAACCAU
rnacentral:rRNA from 2 species